rnacentral:misc_RNA from 1 species
UAAUAAGUGUUUUAUGGCACUUUUUAAAUCCAUAUCCACCUUGUGUGCAAUGUCAGUCGGUUUUCUUUUUCGUCAAGAAAUAAAGGAUCGACCAAACAUCAACUUAUUCUAAUUGAACUUUUGUCUGAAAACUAUUAUGAAUAAACUAAUUCAAAAUA